rnacentral:rRNA from 1 species
AAUGAACGCUGGCGGCAGGCCUAACACAUGCAAGUCGAGCGGACCCUUCGGGGUUAGUGGCGGACGGGUGAGUAACGCGUGGGAACGUGCCCUUUGGUUCGGAAUAGCCUCGGGAAACUGGGAGUAAUACCGGAUAAGCCCUACGGGGGAAAGAUUUAUCGCCAAAGGAUCGGCCCGCGUUGGAUUAGGUAGUUGGUGGGGUAAUGGCCUACCAAGCCGACGAUCCAUAGCUGGUGUGAGAGGAUGAUCAGCCACACUGGGACUGAGACACGGCCCAGACUCCUACGGGAGGCAGCAGUGGGGAGUCUUAGACAAUGGGGGAAACCCUGAUCUAGCCAUGCCGCGUGAUCGAUGAAGGCCUUAGGGUUGUAAAGAUCUUUCAGUUGGGAAGAUAAUGACGGUACCAACAGAAGAAGCCCCGGCUAACUCCGUGCCAGCCGCCGCGGUAA